CCAAAACCCAAAAAAAAAAUCGUAAUUUGAAGAUGCCGCAAAAUAUAUGAUGGGGUGGUCUAUACUUAGGGUUCAUGCUCGCCUCUCUAAAUCCCUUGCAAUACCCUCCUCAGUCCUUCCCCCUCCUCUCACAGUCUUCCUCUUUUUCUCUCAAGAAAAGGUAAAAAUUUGAGGCUUGAGAAAUGUUGGUUUUAUUUGAAACUCCUGCGGGUUUUGCCCUGUUUAAAGUAUUAGAUGAAGGAAAGCUUUCUCAAAUUGAGGAUUUGUGGAAAGAGUUCACUUCUGUUGAUUUAGCCAGAAAGGUCAUAACUUGUUCUGUUUCUUUUUUUGUGAUAUAUUAUUUAGAUUAUUGCAAAUUUGGAAUAAUGGUUUUGUGGUUUUUUUUGGGGGUAUAUGUGAAAGUUGGUUAAAGAUAGAUGUGUUAGACAAUUAUUCCUGCGAUUCAAAAGUUUAAUUUCUAUAUCUGAACCUUUGUGUAUUUAAUAUUUUUGAUGAGAAGUGAGGAGAGCAGGGGUUUGAGAUGGAACUCGUUAGUCAACAUGCUUAUACAGAAAUGAAAAUAUUGAUGGAUGCAUAAUACUAUAUAUCUUCAAUAAUUUCAUCCACUAUGAUCCAGGCAUUUGCCUGGUUUAACUAAUAUGUUUUUCGAUAUUUGUUCAGACCAGGCAUUUGUUUCAGAUUUAUUUAGUUAUUCAUAUAAUUUUUGUUAAUAAUUAUUUUUUUUCUAGUUAAUUUCAUUAAUUUUUUUGUUUUUGUUGAUUUGCAGGGUUAUGAGAUUUGCGUUUGAGUUCCAGAUUUGAAGUUGGUUUCGAUCCAGAUGCCAGAUUUAAAGUCCGUUUUGGUUCCAGAUUUUUGUUAUGGAGUUUAAAGUGUACAUGUAACUAUAUGAGAUUUGUAUUAGAUUUUGUUCUAAGUAUACUAGAAUUUAGUUCUAGAAUAUUUUUUCACUUGUAAUUACAUUUAUUAUCAAUAAUAAUUGAAUUAAUUAAUUUGUUUGCCUUAAUAAAAAAAGUAUUGUAUUUGCAUCAUUCCAUAUCUUAUUACAUUUAAAAUCAAUUAAUUAAAAGCAAAAAACUAUUACAUUUAAUACUGGUUAACCAAAAGCAAAAAAAAAAAAAAAGUGCAAAUGCGUACCAAAAACGAAAAAGAAAGCACAAAUGCGUAUUUGAGAAAACGGUCGCUAAUUAGCGACGGCCAAGGCUAAUUAGCGACUGCUUCUGGCAGUCGCUAAUUAGCGACUGCUAGCGCGCGGUCGCUAAUUAGCGUCAGCAGCUCCAAACGGUCGCUAAUUCGCGACUGCGUAAAAAACGGUCGCUAAAUUCGAAAUAUCAGAUGCUAAUUUUUUAGCGUCCGAUU